ensembl:misc_RNA Metazoa_SRP Metazoan signal recognition particle RNA
GCCGGGCCCCGUGGCUGGUGCCUGUGAUCCCAGCUCCCGGGGAGGCUGAGGCCGAGGCCGGCGGAUCGCUUGAGCUCGGGAGUUCUGGGCUGCAGCGGGCUGUGCCGAUCGGGUGUCCGCACUAAAUUCGGCAUCAAUAUGGUGAUCCCGGGGGAGCUUGGGGUCCCCAGGUUGCCUAAGGAGGGGUGAACCGGCCCAGGUCGGGAACGGAGCAGGUCAAAACUCCCGUGCCGAUCAGUAGUGGGAUUGCGCCUGUGAAUAGCCCCUGCAGCGUAGCCUGGGCAAGACAGUGAGACACGGUCUCUU